rnacentral:lncRNA from 1 species
CCUCACAUCACCUGGCCUCGCCCCUCAGGUGGCACCAGAAACUCCAUCCAGUGUCCGGUGUUAGGAUCACAUUGGUGGAUGGUCUAGCCAUGCGUUGAGUGCUCCAGCAAUGACAGUACAUCCUGAGCCUUGACUUUGGAACUCUUCAGGUUAGGUUCAUGUCCAUGUGUUCAGAAUUCAUGGAGGUUCAUGUCAAGUCAUUGCUGUACCAGAAAUAUGUUUCAAAGCAUGAAUUGGGGGAAAUAGUGGACUGACUGGGGAGGCAGAUUUUGUCUUAAACACUUAAUUCUUUUCCACAUCCAUAAUAUAUAAUUUGAUCUAAGCUCUGAACCAUUUAAGCAACUCAGCAGAGUACAUUAUUAUAGUAUCCAAACACGCCCAGGGAAAUGUAUGAGUAGUGUAUAAGUAGCAACUGCUUUCUCUGAGCAGCUUCAAAAUGGAAACACUAGUUUAUUUAUGCACAGUCAGCAUAGUAAACACAGUUCAAGUGAAAUACUCUUUAGAUUUGGAAAUGGAAAGGCAGAAGGAAACUACGCACUUCCAUAGCCAUGUAAAUGCUGCAGCUGUUGUCCUGACAGUACACAGGAGAAGGCAGAAUAUCUACAGAAAAUAUUUUUUGUGCAGUCCACUAAAUUCAGAUUUUAGAAGGGGUGUGUGUAUGUGUUUGUAUGUGUAAUAGAUCUCUAGAGAAACAAAGGGGACAACCAAGUACACUUGUCAUUAGUGGGGUUGCAAAUAGUUUUCAAGAUGAACACAUUUUGGUUGCCGCAUCUGGCUUUAUUUGGCUGUUUGUUUCCUUCUUUUUUUCCAGACUAAACAGUAUGCCUUCCUCCCUUCCUUCAACCACACUGUAGGGAUUACACAAAUUGUCUUAAGUUUUCCAUUUGUGCAGAAUCAUUUAAAUAGUUAACAUGAAUCUUACCCAUUGCAAACAUGAACUCACAACAGCCUUGCUAGGUGCAGCCUUUGUGGACUACAAAUAUAUGCCAAAUAAAGUUAGUCAGGAAGGCA